rnacentral:rRNA from 1 species
UACGGAAGGCAGCAGUGGGGAAUAUUGGACAAUGGGCGAAAGCCUGAUCCAGCCAUGCCGCAUGAGUGAAGAGGGCCUUCGGGUUGUAAAGCUCUUUUAGUGAGAAAGAUAAUGACGGUACUCACAGAAGAAGUCCUGGCUAACUCCGUGCCAGCAGCCGCGGUAAUACGGAGAGGGCUAGCGUUAUUCGGAAUUAUUGGGCGUAAAGAGCGCGUAGGCUGAUUAGUAAGUUAAAAGUGAAAUCCCAAAGCUUAACUUUGGAAUUGCUUUUUAAAACUGCUAGUCUAGAGAUUGAAAGAGGAUAGAGGAAUUCCUAGUGUAGAGGUGAAAUUCGUAAAUAUUAGGAGGAACACCAGUGGCGAAGGCGUCUAUCUGGUUCAAAUCUGACGCUGAGGCGCGAAGGGCGUGGGGAGCAAACAGGGAUUUAGAUACC